AGUGAACGCUGGCGGUAGGCCUAACACAUGCAAGUCGAACGGCAGCACAGUAAGAGCUUGCUCUUACGGGUGGCGAGUGGCGGACGGGUGAGGAAUACAUCGGAAUCUACUUUUUCGUGGGGGAUAACGUAGGGAAACUUACGCUAAUACCGCAUACGACCUACGGGUGAAAGCAGGGGAUCUUCGGACCUUGCGCGAUUGAAUGAGCCGAUGUCGGAUUAGCUAGUUGGCGGGGUAAAGGCCCACCAAGGCGACGAUCCGUAGCUGGUCUGAGAGGAUGAUCGGCCACACUGGAACUGAGACACGGUCCAGACUCCUACGGGAGGCAGCAGUGGGGAAUAUUGGACAAUGGGCGCAAGCAUGAUCCAGCCAUACCGCGUGGGUGAAGAAGGCCUUCGGGUUGUAAAGCCCUUUUGUUGGGAAAGAAAAGCAGCAGGUUAAUACCCCGCUGUUCUGACGGUACCCAAAGAAUAAGCACCGGCUAACUUCGUG
rnacentral:rRNA from 1 species